UACAACGUCAACAAAACAAUCAAUUCAAUAUCAAUUGGCGUUGAAUCGGUUUUAUCGCAAAAGAAAUUCCUCAAAAAAGAAAUGAAAGUAACUAAAAUCAACUCAGAGAUUUGGAAGUGACUGAAAUCACCUCAGCCGAAACGAAAGAACGACGACAAAAGCGAUUGGAAUAUUUUGUGCGUGAAGUGUGUGAAGUGUAUUCACUGACCUUUGAUUUACGGUAUGCAUACAAUUUUCUAUGGAUUGAACUUUGUUCAUCCAAUGCGUUAAAUGUUUUCUUUUUUAAACUAAUUUCUUUAAUUCGAAAUUUCGUAGUGAGCGUCGUGGAUAUUCAAACGAUUCGAAUUUGUUUCGUGGUUUAUUGAAGGUCAUGUGAACGAGUUUAUUCAAAGUGGAAUUUGCAUUGGCUCUUGGAAUGAAAUCGAAUGACAUGUUUUUGCGUCGAAUGUUGAAAAAACCAAAAUAAUGGAAGAAUACAAAGGAGAUUUCAUGGCGAUUGGUCUAAAUUGCAAAGAUUUCAAACAGAAUUUCCGUGACACAUAAAAAAACUUUGCGCGAAUGACAUCGUUUCGCAUCGAACCGAUUAAAAAUACCCGGUUAUGCUGGAUACUUCUUGGCUUUGUUGUGCAUUCAACAUUCGUGUUUGAUUGCCUUUCGAGAGGCAUGUUUUACCUCGGACCACAAGCCGUACAUUUCAUUUUGGCUCCUUCAAACUAUGACAGGCAUAGCCGGUCAACUCUUAUUCAUCAUAAUGUGCUUGAUAUUAAUAUUUGCAACAAAUUGCAUCACACUGAAUUGAAUUCAAACGGAACAUUUGCCAUCCAAUUUUAUGAAUGUUCACCGCAUGGAAUUGCUCUCAACUGUCAUAUCAAAGCCUAAAGUUCAUGCGUGAGCGUCGUGAAUAUUCAAACGAUUCGAAUUGGUUUCGUGGUUUAUUGAUGGUCAUGUGAACGAGUUGAUCGAAAGUGGAAUUGGCAUUGGCACUUCAAACGAAAGCAAAUGACAUGGGUUUGUGUCGAAUGUUCAACAAUUUGGACAUGGAUCAGGAACAGAGCAUUUUAUUUUAGGGUUUUUAGAAAUAGUUGUUCUGUUCUCGCGUAGCAAAACCGAAGACAAUUUGCGUAUAAUCUAUGAUAUGUGACGGGGUCUUUGAGUGGCAAGCCUAAUUUAUUUGAUAAGUGGCCGUUCCUUGAAAUUCAAUUAGAGAUCUGAGGCGCUAUUAAAAUGUGUAAUUCAGAUUCAACACUAAUAAAUAAAUUACAAACAGUUUUUAUUGUAUAGAAAUGUGAUAUAAUAUAAUAAAAAUAAAAUAAAACAAAAUAGAUAUUCGGAACAACAUAUGUAAACAUUCAAGCAGAAAAAAAUAAAAAUUAAAAAAUAUAUGAACAGCAAAGAAUAAUUUAAAUAAAAAUAUUGUUGAGAUGUUUUGCUUUUUGACUUAUGCCUCCAUGAUAUUGAGCAUAUCCGAGAUAAUAUAAUA